rnacentral:sRNA from 2 species
AGCCCUUAUCGAAGCCAGCCCACUCAAAUCCCAGCACAACAAGUCAGCUCAAUCCCGUCGACCCCGUCUUCUUUGCGUCCCGAGAUCUCCUCCAUGUCCUGGAGUAUCUUGUCAAUAUAUUCUCCCGUUUGCCCGACAAAUUCAGUAUUAUAUUAUAUGCAACUGCGCCGAUGAAGAGCAAGGAGCCGGGGGGUGAUGGAGGCUCUGGUUUGAACCAUUAGCCCCAAAUAGGGGGUGCGAGAGAUCGGGGAUUUGGAUCUCAUCUCAUCUCCGGCACAGUAUCCAGGAGGAAAGUCUCAAUUUGAGCCUGUCUCUAUUAUUAGAGAAUGCGGAAGCAUAUAGGCUACCUCACGAAACAUCAAUGAUUAUCCCCGAAACGGGUUUCCUUCAUCAUCUUGUCAUCUUGCGCAACCGCGGCCCUGAUGUAUCAGCCCGAACUACUGCCUCCCUCCGAUCAAAUAUUCCGUGAUAUCACACAACGAUGAUGGUCACGGACAAGGCUAGCACCUCGAAGUACUGGUAUUCGGAUGACCAACGGGGUAUGGAAAAGAGUUAUCCAGCAGGAAGACCGUGAAGCUGGCCAGCUUCUCACCCAGCAGGUUUCCAUCGCUGUCGAUGUCAACAUCGUCUCCGCGACAUCUAGGUCUAUAAAAUUGAAAAAAGAAGCACGGAAGAAGACGUCUUGCGAUCGUUCAGAGACCUGAAGGCUCGUAAGUAUAGCGAGGCAGGGAGUGGAGGGCUGAAAGAAACCUGACGCGCCUCUCUCUGCUCUGAAAUGGUUGAUGAUGUUGUAGAAUCUGUGUUUGGCCUGGGCUACGCUCAUCCGCGGGGAAGGAUUCAGGACUAGACACCCCUGUCAGUGAUGCCGUCAGGUGGGCAUUUGACGGCCAUGCCGGGCCAUUCUAUUCCUAUUGUUUAUAUACCCUGGCGGACGAUUUUGAAGGUAUGAAAUCGUUGUUGAACUUAAAGCUCUGCUAAGGAGAAAAGAACAAAUAUGCAUGCAUUCAAGCUUCAAUAAAGAUAUAUCAAAGGAGACCAUGUCAUAAAUUCAAACCGCCGCCCCCUUUAAAAACCACAACCCUACUUUGACGUACAGCUAACAUACAAACAACAGAAUUGUAGACUGCAACCACGAACCACGGAAUAUAUAAUUUUCACAACAAGCAAAUAAGAAACGAAAAGCGAAAACAGGAAAUGGGGGAGAGGGAGAGAUAAGAGUAAGAAAAUUCACCAAUCAACGUUAAGUCAUUCCAUAAACCAAGUCCCUUCACCCACAACCAAAGUGUCAAGGGCACGGAAUCGGUUCGGGGUUCACGGCUUCAGCGAAACUUUAGCACCAUGGUGGCUAGCACAUGUGAUGGUGACCCAUUCGGUCCACGGUUCUGGGUCGCGCGAUUCAAUCGUGCGGAAAUGUUGCAUGAGCCGAACUGUAGUGUACGAAGCUUCUGUGAGGGCGAAUUGUUGGCCAAGACAAAUCCUCGGUCCACCAUUAAAUGGCAAAUACUCCCAGCCAGGUCUGAUAGUUUCCCAUCGCUCUGGUCGGAAUUCAGCAGCGUCGGGCCCGUAGAUGUCCUGGCGUCUGUGCAUGGCGUAGACGCUGUAAGCGAGGGUCGUUCCCUUUUUGACAAAAACCGGUGAUUUGCCGUCCGGUCCACCACCAAGUGGGAGGAUGGUAUCGCGAAUGGCCGCACGUGCGUUGUUUGGGACAACGGGCCAGAGUCGGAGACCUGGAAUGCCGCCAAAAAUUGGGUUGUUAGUAAAGCGGUAUUUCGCUAAGGGAGCUGCGGUGUGUUGGUUCAAUCAGGUUUCUGCGCAAGCUCACAUUCGUUAAGCACGUAUUUAAGAUAUUUCAUAUUUUUAAGUUCUUCGAACGUGGGCUUUCUCCCACCGAGUUGGUCGACCUCUGCACGGAGUUUCUUCAGCACGUCUGGACGUUUGGGGAUUAUGUUCCAGACAUUCGCUAAGAGACUGGCGGUGGUGUCGCGACCGGCAAGCAAGAUGUUUAGUGUUUCGGAACGAAGAGCAAUGGGAUCCUGAGUCUGUUUCGCUAGUUCUUGCAGGAAUACGUAGCGGCCCUUUUCGGGAAGAGGACCGCUUCCGUAUUUUUCAUUCGCGUGAUUCUCAAGCGCCUUCUUCACAUACCGGUCCGCAAAGUCGUGAAUCAGUUUCCGAUCCCUUUCAAAGCGCUUGUCGGUCUUGAAAUAUCUGUCGAGGAGGCCCACCCUUAGGGAGUUGCCAAUUUCUGUUGUACAGUAGGUGAAGGCUUCAGCGAAAUUUUCUUUAGUAGAGGGUUUGAAGUUCUUAUGAAGAGUGUUGGCUGAUUCUCCGAACAAAAACUCAGUUGCGGUGUCUGCAGUAAGAUCAAAGAACAGCGGCUGGAGGUCAACGGUAGAUCCAUCGGUAGGGACCACUUGGAUAAGGUUCUGUAUAUGUGCUUCAAAAAUAGCCAGUUCGGCGACCUGAGCGCGGUUGAAAUUUGGCCGGAGCAUAGUUCUUGAGUGUUCCCACUGAGGACCAUCUGUGGUGAAUAUCCCUUGACCAAAAACACCAUGGAAGGCUGUCUUCCUAAGGGCGUUAAUUUCAUAAUCAGAAAACUUAAGAGACAACACGCAUUUAAUAUUCUCAGGCUCGCAAGUAGAGAUCGUAGGUAUUCCGACACCGAUCAGUGAAAAGGUGUUUCCAAAGAUCCGGUAGCGUUUUACGGAUUCUUGGAGGAGGAUAUUCUUUUGCUUAUGUCCCCUGAGUUUCAUGG